GACGAACGCUGGCGGCGUGCUUAACACAUGCCAGUCGAACGAAGAGCGACGGAAGCUUGCUUCUAUCAAUCUUAGUGGCGGACGGGUGAGUAACGCGUAAUCAACCUGCCCUUCAGAGGGGGACAACAGUUGGAAACGACUGCUAAUACCGCAUACGAUCUAAUCUCGGCAUCGAGGAUGGAUGAAAGGUGGCCUCUACAUGUAAGCUAUCACUGAAGGAGGGGAUUGCGUCUGAUUAGCUAGUUGGAGGGGUAACGGCCCACCAAGGCGAUGAUCAGUAGCCGGUCUGAGAGGAUGAACGGCCACAUUGGGACUGAGACACGGCCCAGACUCCUACGGGAGGCAGCAGUGGGGAAUCUUCCGCAAUGGACGAAAGUCUGACGGAGCAACGCCGCGUGAGUGAUGACGGCCUUCGGGUUGUAAAGCUCUGUUAAUCGGGACGAAAGGCCUUCUUGCGAAUAGUGAGAAGGAUUGACGGUACCGGAAUAGAAAGCCACGGCUAACUACGUG
rnacentral:rRNA from 1 species